rnacentral:lncRNA from 1 species
AAAGGCAAGUGUGUGGCUACUAGAUAUCAAGGCAAAGGAUUACAACCAGUUGUGGCAUCAUUUCCUGCUUCUGGAAAAUGAAAACAGACACAUUUCUACAUUUUUAUAUGAUUUGUCCAUAACAUUGCUCCUGGCUUCUCCAAUACUGCUAUUUUAGCAUCUGUAAGCAUUUGGCUUCAUCAUUCUAAAAAACAAAACAAAAAACAAACAAACAAAAACACACUUCAUGUCUUUCUAAACUAUGCAGAGGUUAUCAAGGUACAACAAUGUUACAUCUGCUGUGAUUCUAAUAAAUUAUAAAU